rnacentral:rRNA from 1 species
UAGGGAAUCUUCGGCAAUGGACGAAAGUCUGACCGAGCAACGCCGCGUGAGUGAAGAAGGUUUUCGGAUCGUAAAACUCUGUUGUUAGAGAAGAACAAGGACGUUAGUAACUGAACGUCCCCUGACGGUAUCUAACCAGAAAGCCACGGCUAACUACGUGCCAGCAGCCGCGGUAAUACGUAGGUGGCAAGCGUUGUCCGGAUUUAUUGGGCGUAAAGCGAGCGCAGGCGGUUUCUUAAGUCUGAUGUGAAAGCCCCCGGCUCAACCGGGGAGGGUCAUUGGAAAAUGGGAGACUUGAGUGCAGAAGAGGAGAGGGGAAUUCCAUGUGUAGCGGUGAAAUGCGUAGAUAUAUGGAGGAACACCAGUGGCGAAGGCGGCUCUCUGGUCUGUAACUGACGCUGAGGCUAGAAAGCGUGGGGAGCAAACAGG